AACUUUCCGCCAGAGAACUACAAGUGAAAAACUUAAAACUCAAAGGACUUGACGGUGUCCCAAAUCGACCUAGAGGAGCCUGUCCUAUAAUCGAUACCCCCCGUUCCACCCAACCUCAACUAGCACAUAACAGCCUAUAUACCGCCGUCGAUCAGCCUACCCUAUGAAGGUUUAACAGUAGACACAAAAGCCUUAACCGCUAAUACGUCAGGUCAAGGUGUAGCUUAUGCUGAGGAAGAGAUUGGCUACAUUUUUUAUUUUAAAAAAUACGAAAAGCACUAUGAAACCGCGCUUGAAGGUGAAUUUAGUAGUAAAAUAAAUAAGAGAAUUUAUUUUAACAACGCUCUGG
rnacentral:rRNA from 1 species